AUGGCCCUGCUGAAAUGUUGUCACUGCUGCAGCUCCUGUCCCCUGCACCCUCCCCAGGAUGGCUGUUGCUGCAAGAUGAGGAGGAGGAGGAGGAAGAGGAGAAGGAGGAGGAGGAGGAGGAGGUCUCACUCUGCACAGACCUUGUGUGCAGUGCUGCCAUGGCGAGCGGAAACGUGGGAAGAGAACACAGAGAGAAAGAAAAGCGACUCCCAGGCCCUGAGGGGAGGGGAGCUGAGAGGAGAGAGCAGGAGGGGAAAUGUCGGACCCUGCUGUGCCAUGCUGGGGACAUGGCUGGGGAAGGGACAAUGGGACACAGGGACACAGGGACAUGGGGACACCAGGACACUGGCUCCUGCCCUCGGCACCACUUCCCUGCAGCACUGGAAGGAGCCAUGCAGCUCACCCGCAGGAGCAGAGUGGAAAUGGGGACGAGUGCUGCUGGGAGGGGUUUUGGCACAGGACGUGGCCCGCAGCGCUCACCCAAAGGACAAACUGGGCUCCAGUUGUCACCCACUUCCCACCGGGCCAGCAUCCCUGUGGCAAUCUGGGCACCCUGUGUCCUCAUGUCCUCAUGUCCUCACGUCCCUGUGUCCCCAUGUCCCUGUUUCCCCACGUCCCCCUGUCCCCGUGUCCCCACAUACCCCGAGUGCUGACUUCCUGCCUCCGGAGGCUGAGCCGCCACCGCCGCCGCUCCCCGGCCGUGGGAGCGACCCCAGACACCGGUCCCAGGGAGCCAGGAGCGCGGCCCCACGGAGCACAGGGGUGCGGGGGGAGCCUCACGUCCCCUGCGCAUCCCAACCCGCUGCUGUCAGGGCUGUGUCUGUGCCCCAGCCCCACUCCCAAGGCCUUUCCCAGCUCCCAGCUGGGGAUACAGACCCUUUUGCUUUAGAUUUUAUCCUGCACCACCCUCUCAGGGUGGCACCAAGGAGCUUAAAGCCAAUUGUCCCCUCUGUCCGUGUCCCCUUGAGCGCCGCCGUUGGGAACACCGCUAUUUUUAAUCCCAGGAAGCUAUCCUGA
rnacentral:lncRNA from 1 species